rnacentral:misc_RNA from 1 species
GGCAGAUGCGAGCGGCGUCCACUGAGGGGGGUGAACGGCGGUGCUGUGAGGAGAAGAGAAACCGAGAGUGAGUGGAAAAGAGAAACGAAGAGAACUCAAAAGCUUGCGAGCGACAGCGACUGGCGGAGAUGAUCGGCGAUGAAGCGCCGGCCUGCCUGCGGGUGGCCAGAUGAAGAGGACGAAGGUGGUGAUCAGACGAGAGAGAGAGAAAAAGAGAAGCGGCAGAGU